rnacentral:tRNA from 1 species
GGCGGCGUAGCCAAGUGGUUAAGGCAGCGGUCUGCAAAACCGCGAUUCGGCGGUUCGAAUCCGCCCGCCGCCU